UGUUGGCAAGCAUGAUGAAUCAAUUAGAUGUGUGAGGCAAUUGUCCCAUGAACUGAAUCUUUGAGGCAUAGAAUAUUGUUUCUGACUUGCUCAACC